rnacentral:rRNA from 1 species
GACGAACGCUGGCGGCGUGCUUAACACAUGCAAGUCGAACGGAAAGGCCCUGCUUUUGUGGGGUGCUCGAGUGGCGAACGGGUGAGUAACACGUGAGUAACCUGCCCUUGACUUUGGGAUAACUUCAGGAAACUGGGGCUAAUACCGGAUAGGAGCUCCUGCUGCAUGGUGGGGGUUGGAAAGUUUCGGCGGUUGGGGAUGGACUCGCGGCUUAUCAGCUUGUUGGUGGGGUAGUGGCUUACCAAGGCUUUGACGGGUAGCCGGCCUGAGAGGGUGACCGGCCGCAGGGGGAGUAAGAUGCGGCCGAGACUCCACCGGGAGGAAGCAGGGGGGAAUAGUGCACAAGGGGCGGAAGCUUGAUGCAGCAACGCGGCGGGGGGGAAGCGGGCCUUGGGGUUGUAAACCGCUUUCCCCGGGGACGAGGCGUGAGGGACGGGAAGGGGAAAGGAAGCACGGGCAAACUACGGC